rnacentral:rRNA from 1 species
AUACGUAGGGAGCGAGCGUUGUCCGGAAUUACUGGGCGUAAAGGGCGCGUAGGCGGCGCUUCAAGUCGUCUGUCAAAUGGGAGGGCUUAACCCUUUUUCGCAGACGAAACUGGAGAGCUUGAGAAGCAGAGAGGCAAACAGAAUUCCUGGUAUAGCGGUGAAAUGCGUAGAUAUCAGGAAGAAUACCAGUGGCGAAGGCGGUUUGCUGGCUGCAUACUGACGCUGAAGCGCGAAAGCCAGGGGAGCAAACGGGAUUAGAUACCCCGGUAGUCCUGGCAGUAAACGAUGUAUGCUGGGUGUGAGGCUAGCGAUAGUUUCGUGCCGAAGUUAACGCGAUAAGCAUACCGCCUGGGGAGUACGGUCGCAAGAUUGAAACUCAAAUGAAUUGGCGGGG